GGCCUGCUGGCGCAAUGGUCGCGCGUCAGACUCCUACUUCUUGACAAGCCGUUGCUUCGAAAGGAUGAAGAGUUCAUCUGAAGGUUCUGGGUUCGAGUCCCAGGUAGGUCA
rnacentral:tRNA from 1 species